CCUUCGCCACUGUCUAUUCUUCUUUUCUUCCCUUGCAGCGGCCUUUUUUGGCUCCCCCUUCACUCUUCUGCUCAGCUACUCUUCUCCUCCUCUCCCUUCCUCUUUUCUGGCCUCCCUAUUCUUUUCCUCUCUUCUUUCUUCCACUCGGCUCUCAAUUUGCUCGACAACUCUCUUCUCCUCUCUCUCAACUAAUUGGCUCCUCUCUCCUUCUCUCUCUCUUUUUUGGCUUCUCUCUAAAAUGAAGAAAACCCUAAUCUUUUUUCCCUUUUAUAUC
rnacentral:lncRNA from 1 species